GUUUUUACGUGUUUUGAGCUUUGCGCCCCGGUCGCCUGCAGGAAAGCACCUUGUAGCCGGCACCCUGCUCGGCAGCGAGUACAAGAGAGGCCGGGAAUGGCAGGAAGCACGGCUUUUAUAUCCGGGUCGCAGACCCUGCUGGCUGAUUCAUAUCUUCUUCCUUGGAAAUGUUUCAACUUCACUCAGCAAUGGCCAUAACUGCGUGCUUCCAAAAGGUCAUAGGUCAGUGACCUUGGAUGGAUUCCCUGUCCACAUCCGCUGCUGAUCCCACAGCUGAAGGUGCCGGGAUCUGGUUCUAGGCCGAGACCGGACAUACAGUGUUACCCUGUGGUGCUAACUAGCACCAGUAAAGUGCUUAAUGAUUAUAAUUCAUGGCGGGGUCAUCUAUGGCAUAAUAAAUAUUGAUUUGAC